rnacentral:rRNA from 1 species
UACGGGGGGGGCAAGCGUUGUUCGGAAUUACUGGGCGUAAAGGGCUCGUAGGUGGCCAACUAAGUCAGACGUGAAAUCCCUCAGCUUAACUGGGGAACUGCGUCUGAUACUGGAUGGCUUGAGUUUGGGAGAGGGACGCGGAAUUCCAGGUGUAGCGGUGAAAUGCGUAGAUAUCUGGAGGAACACCGGUGGCGAAGGCGGCGUCCUGGACCAACACUGACACUGAUGAGCGAAAGCCAGGGGAGCAAGCGGG